CUUUUUCUAUCGAUAAUUAGGGAAUUCCGAUUCUGAUAUUACUCUUCAAGCUUAUCUCAGUUUUUUUUUGGUCGACUAACCUAAGAGGAGAAGAACAAGAAGGUAUCGAGGAUAUUUAGAAGAGGCAGAAGUUCAACACCAGUAAGUGUCCCAACAAAAGCUAAUUCAGCAUUAACCAUAGCUUCAGAUAAAAUUUAUCAGUACUGGUUAUUGAGUGGGAUUUUUCGUUAACAAAAGCUUAUUAUGAUGCAUAAUGUAUUUUCUGAAUUUUUUACUUUGGGUGUCAAUUGAAUUUAAUCUUUCUAUUCAGAUAAUGUAUUCAAUUAUGAUAAGAAUAUUGAGUUGCAAUUAAUUUGAGUUUAAUCCUUUUUAUUUUUUUAUA